rnacentral:tRNA from 1 species
AUGAAGUUAAGUUAUCUAAGACUAUGUGUUUUCAAAACACAAUGAAAUAUCAGUAUUACUUCAUG